CAGUCGCCACGGUAACACGAAGGGGGCUAGCGUUGCUCGGAAUUACUGGGCGUAAAGGGCGCGUAGGCGGACAGUUUAGUCGGGGGUGAAAGCCCGGGGCUCAACCUCGGAAUUGCCUUCGAUACUGGCUGCCUUGAGUGUGAGAGAGGUGUGUGGAACUCCGAGUGUAGAGGUGAAAUUCGUAGAUAUUCGGAAGAACACCAGUGGCGAAGGCGACACACUGGCUCACUACUGACGCUGAGGCGCGAAAGCGUGGGGAGCAAACAGGAUUAGAUACCCCCGUAGUCCCUGUCUCUUAUAC
rnacentral:rRNA from 1 species